GGGGGAUAUUGCACAAUGGGCGAAAGCCUGAUGCAGCAACGCCGCGUGAGGGAAGAAGGUUUUCGGAUUGUAAACCUCUGUCCUCGGUGAAGAAACAAAUGACGGUAGCCGAGGAGGAAGCCACGGCUAACUACGUGCCAGCAGCCGCGGUAAUACGUAGGUGGCAAGCGUUGUCCGGAUUUACUGGGUGUAAAGGGAGCGCAGGCGGGAAGGCAAGUCAGACGUGAAAACUAUGGGCUCAACCCAUAACGUGCGUUUGAAACUGCUUUUCUUGAGUGAAGUAGAGGUAGGCGGAAUUCCGAGUGUAGCGGUGAAAUGCGUAGAUAUUCGGAGGAACACCAGUGGCGAAGGCGGCCUACUGGGCUUUUACUGACGCUGAGGCUCGAAAGUGUGGGGAGCAAAC
rnacentral:rRNA from 1 species